GCCUACGGGAGGCAGCAGUGAGGAAUAUUGGUCAAUGGGCUUACGCCUGAACCAGCCAAGUCGCGUGAGGGAAGACUGCCCUAUGGGUUGUAAACCUCUUUUGUCAGGGAGCAACGCCGGCUACGUGUAGCCGGACUGAGAGUACCUGAAGAAAAAGCAUCGGCUAACUCCGUGCCAGCAGCCGCGGUAAUACGGAGGAUCCAAGCGUUAUCCGGAUUUACUGGGUGUAAAGGGAGCGUAGACGGCAGUGCAAGUCCGGAGUGAAAGCCCGGGGCUCAACCCUGGGACUGCUCUGGAAACUGUAA
rnacentral:rRNA from 1 species